rnacentral:piRNA from 1 species
UGAGCAAAGGACCAAAUGUAGAA